CCUACGGGAGGCUGCAGUGGGGAAUAUUGCACAAUGGGGGAAACCCUGAUGCAGCGACGCCGCGUGAGCGAAGAAGUAAUUCGUUAUGUAAAGCUCUAUCAGCAGGGAAGAAAAUGACGGUACCUGAGUAAGAAGCCCCGGCUAACUCCGUGCCAGCAGCCGCGGUAAUACGUAGGGGGCAAGCGUUAUCCGGAUUUACUGGGGGUAAAGGGAGCGUAGGCGGGUGUGCAAGUCUGGAGUGAAAGGCGGGGGCUCAACACCCAGACUGCUCUGGAAACUGUACGGCUUGAGUGCAGGAGAGGUGAGUGGAAUUCCUAGUGUAGCGGUGAAAUGCGUAGAUAUUAGGAGGAACACCAGUGGCGAAGGCGGCUUACUGGACUGUAACUGACAUUGAGGCACGAAAGCGUGGGGAGCAAACAGGAUUAGAUACCCUUGUAGUC
rnacentral:rRNA from 1 species